rnacentral:rRNA from 1 species
UAAGGUGGUUAUAGCAACGGGGCUCACCUCUUACCAUUCCGAACAGAGCAGUUAAGCCCGUUAGCGCCGAUGGUACUACUACUGUGGGAGAGUAGGUCGCCGCCUUUU